AGCGAACGCUGGCGGCAGGCUUAACACAUGCAAGUCGAACGGGCAUCUUCGGAUGUCAGUGGCAGACGGGUGAGUAACACGUGGGAACGUACCCUUCGGUUCGGAAUAACUCAGGGAAACUUGAGCUAAUACCGGAUACGCCCUUUUGGGGAAAGGUUUACUGCCGAAGGAUCGGCCCGCGUCUGAUUAGCUUGUUGGUGGGGUAACGGCCUACCAAGGCGACGAUCAGUAGCUGGUCUGAGAAGAUGAUCAGCCACACUGGGACUGAGACACGGCCCAGACUCCUACGGGAGGCAGCAGUGGGGAAUAUUGGACAAUGGGCGCAAGCCUGAUCCAGCCAUGCCGCGUGAGUGAUGAAGGCCUUAGGGUUGUAAAGCUCUUUUGUCCGGGACGAUAAUGACGGUACCGGAAGAAUAAGCCCCGGCUAACUUCGUG
rnacentral:rRNA from 1 species